rnacentral:rRNA from 1 species
GUGGGGAAUAUUGGACAAUGGGCGAAAGCCUGAUCCAGCCAUGCCGCGUGUGUGAAGAAGGUCUUCGGAUUGUAAAGCACUUUAAGCGAGGAGGAGGCUACCGAGAUUAAUACUCUUGGAUAGUGGACGUUACUCGCAGAAUAAGCACCGGCUAACUCUGUGCCAGCAGCCGCGGUAAUACAGAGGGUGCAAGCGUUAAUCGGAUUUACUGGGCGUAAAGCGCGCGUAGGUGGCCAAUUAAGUCAAAUGUGAAAUCCCCGAGCUUAACUUGGGAAUUGCAUUCGAUACUGGUUGGCUAGAGUAUGGGAGAGGAUGGUAGAAUUCCAGGUGUAGCGGUGAAAUGCGUAGAGAUCUGGAGGAAUACCGAUGGCGAAGGCAGCCAUCUGGCCUAAUACUGACACUGAGGUGCGAAAGCAUGGGGAGCAAACAGGAUUAGAUACCCCGGUAGUCC